ensembl:lncRNA
CCCUCCCGGGUCCUGGCAGGGGCCGCGCCACGCUGCCUGGAUCCUGGCAGCGGUGUACACUCACUCCGGCUCAGCUAGCAGAGAUGUGCUUCGCUCGACGCACGUCUUCGCACGCUGAAAUCUUACAGGGAUUGUCACUUCUCCCGUAAAUGACUCUUGUGCGAAAAGGAAGCAGUUUCAUUGGAAAACUCCGUUAUAAAACGGUUUUUUUGUAAGCUGCUAGGACCUGAGAGGCAAGCGCCUCCUUGCAGCGCUAUGCUAACGCAGGGUGGGGACUGGGCUGGAAAACUGCAGCGUGAGAUCUCCUGCGUGCAACCCCUCGCGUCAAAUCGUUCUGUACGCACCGAGCUGCGUGGGCUUUUCUCGUGUGCGCAGGUUAGACGUGGACUCUCAGGGGAAUACGUCCUGUGAGGGCCAUCCUGAAAGGAGAAUCCAGAAACAGCCCGCGAAGGAAUGAUCUUCCAGGGACACGCAGAUACUCAAAAGGCAAAGUUUGUUCCAAGCGUAGAAGUAUAGAGCUGCCAGCAUAGUCACUGAGAGGGGGGAAAGCGUUCCCCCAAACCGCGGGAAUCACGAGUUUAUAUCUUUACUAAUGUUGACCCACCUAUUUGUUUUUGGUUGGUUUAGGAUCCCAGUGUACAUAAUCCCUGUUCUAAAAAUCAUCAUGUCAGUUUGUCCAUUUUUAUGACCCUUUUUUCCUGAUCUCCCAGUUCUUGAAUUUUCUUAUGAUACUGAGUCUCCACCCUCUCACCUUUUCUCUUGCCCUCUCCCCUCCCCUUUUCUGGUGACCUCGGGCCAUUGUCUGAGGACCAGGUUCUAAAGUUAAUGGGCCACCUGGUGUUUUUCUCCUUGAUCAGCUGCUGAUUGUCCUGUCAGGUCAAGGGAGUUAGAGGCAGUCCCUUUAAAUGUCAACAAACUGUAACAGCAAAGACAGGCGAAAAAUAAGGGGAGAUUGGAAUUUGAUUUUUAAAAGAAGAAAUGGAGUCCUAUUUUUUUGUUUGUUUCCUUUUGACCCUAGGCUAAACUGACUGCCUCAUAUUUUUCUACGUCAACCCCACCUUAGCAGCUUGAAACCCAGGCCUUUGGUCCACUGUUUGUCCCUGAGCCACAGGAACGGGGAAUUCAGCGUCGAGAAAACUCAUUAAUGCAGACUGAAGACAUCUGAUGAGACCCAAAGCUACCAAUUUCUCAGGGGAUCUGGUAUUCCCAUCUCUUCAAGAAUUUUCCACAGUUUGUUG